rnacentral:rRNA from 1 species
UACGUAGGGGCAAGCGUUGUCCGGAAUUACUGGGCGUAAAGGGCUCGUAGGCGGCCAACUAAGUCGGACGUGAAAUCCCCAGGCUCAACCUGGGAACUGCGUCCGAUACUGGAUGGCUUGAAUCCGGGAGAGGGAUGCAGAAUUCCAGGUGUAGCGGUGAAAUGCGUAGAUAUGACAUAGAACACCAAUUGCGAAGGCAGCUCGCUACACAUAUAUUGACUCUGAGGCACGAAAGCGUGGGGAUCAAACAGG